AGUGAACGCUGGCGGUAGGCCUAACACAUGCAAGUCGAACGGCAGCACAGUAAGGGCUUGCUCUUACGGGUGGCGAGUGGCGGACGGGUGAGGAAUACAUCGGAAUCUACUUUUUCGUGGGGGAUAACGUAGGGAAACUUACGCUAAUACCGCAUACGACCUACGGGUGAAAGCAGGGGAUCUUCGGACCUUGCGCGAUUGAAUGAGCCGAUGUCGGAUUAGCUAGUUGGCGGGGUAAAGGUCCACCAAGGCGACGAUCCGUAGCUGGUCUGAGAGGAUGAUCAGCCACACUGGAACUGAGACACGGUCCAGACUCCUACGGGAGGCAGCAGUGGGGAAUAUUGGACAAUGGGCGCAAGCCUGAUCCAGCCAUACCGCGUGGGUGAAGAAGGCCUUCGGGUUGUAAAGCCCUUUUGUUGGGAAAGAAAAGCAGCAGGUUAAUACCCCGCUGUUCUGACGGUACCCAAAGAAUAAGCACCGGCUAACUUCGUG
rnacentral:rRNA from 1 species